rnacentral:lncRNA from 1 species
ACAAGCAUGUUUUCAUAACUACAACAACUAGCAAGUGACUAAGAUGUUUGAACGUUUCCUAAAUUAAAAUCAAAAUUUUCAUUUUUUUUAUAGAAAAUGAUAAUCAAUGUCAAGAACAAAUUGUUCUUCGUAGCCAAAAUGGACGGGGAAGAGAACUGUGGCAGAGGUGAGUCUUGUUCGAAGGAGGCGACAAUGUUUAAGGGAUUUGGGUUGAGUUAUUUAUUUAUUUUUUGGAGGUGAGAGGUUUGUAGAGAUGGUUGGGUGAAUAGUGGAUUGAUCAUGUUAUUAAUGAGUGGUGUUAUAUAGCAUGACACAAUCUCCCACACGAAAACGCACGACAAGCUCAUCAACACAUGAUUUUUUAUGUAAAUGGUUGGUAUCUUAUAAUGUUUAAAAUAAAUGAUAAACCAUGAUAAAUGGGGAGGGAGUGGAUUGAUCAUGUUAUUAGAUGUAAUAUUGGGUUGCAAAAAUAAAUAACUAAUUAGUUAAGUUAGAAUAGUU